rnacentral:rRNA from 1 species
AACGAACGCUGGCGGCGUGCCUAACACAUGCAAGUCGAGCGCGAAAAGGGCAACCUGAGUAGAGCGGCGCACGGGUGCGUAACACGUGGGUAAUCUGCCUCAAAGUCUGGGAUAACCUUCCGAAAGGUUGGCUAAUACCGGAUAAGCUUACAGGGUCUUCGGAUCUGGUGGGAAAAGGUGGCCUCUGUUUACAAGCCAUCACUUUGAGAUGAGCCCGCGGCCCAUCAGCUAGUUGGCGGGGUAACGGCCCACCAAGGCAACGACGGGUAGCUGGUCUGAGAGGACGAUCAGCCACACUGGAACUGAGACACGGUCCAGACUCCUACGGGAGGCAGCAGUGGGGAAUUUUGCACAAUGGGCGAAAGCCUGAUGCAGCAACGCCGCGUGUGUGAUGAAGGUCUUCGGAUCGUAAAGCACUUUCGACCGGGACGAACAACCUCUGGCUAACAGUCAGGGGCCUGACGGUACCGGGAGAAGAAGCACCGGCUAACUCUGUGCC